AGAGAAGAAAGAACAAGAGAGAGAGAGAAGUAGGGACGCGAAGAGCAAGUCCCCCCCACCUCCCCAUCACCCCCCACCACCCCUGCGGAGCCAAUAUUUUUUAGAAAUAAUAAAAAAAAUGAUAGUAUGCUGGUGGGACGGAAGCCAUGUUGUAGAGGAACCGUGCAAGAUCAUGAGGCUCAGGGUAGGCCUUGCCACUCGAUGGCGGAAGGAGGAGGGAGGGAAAGAGUCUUGGGGAAGCGGCUGAGAAGUCUUCGAAUUUCAAGAGGACUUAGGAUGUCAAGAAGAUGUCUUAGGAUGUCCGGAAGAGGUUUUAGGAUGCCCAGAAGUAGUCCAAUGAUGUCUAGAAGAAGUCUUUAGGAUGUCAAUAAUAAGUCCCGAAAGCAUCAAGGAAAAGUCUUAAAAGUGUCAAGAAAAAGUCUUAAAAGUGUCAAGAAAAAGUCUUGAUUAAAAGUGUCAAGAAAAAGUCUUAAAAGUGUCAAGAAAAAGUCUUAAAAGUGUCAAGAAAAAGUCUUAGAAUGCCAAGAAAAAGUCUUAGAAUGCCAAGAAAAAGUCUUACGAUGCCAAGAAGUCCGGGGACGUUAAGGAGAAGUCUUAAGAAUGUCAAGAAAACGUCUUAGAAUUCCAGGAAUAGUCUUUAAGGAGUCAAGAAAAGUCUUAGGAUGUCAGAAGAAAGAACGGUGUUUAGGGAAAAUCUUAGGAAAACGAGAAAGAAGGAA
rnacentral:lncRNA from 1 species